rnacentral:rRNA from 1 species
UACGUAGGUGGCAAGCGUUGUCCGGAUUUAUUGGGUUUAAAGGGUGCGUAGGCGGUUCCUUAAGUCAGUGGUGAAAUACUUCAGCUCAACUGGAGAGGUGCCAUUGAUACUGGGGAACUUGAGUACUGAUGAGGUAGGCGGAAUGGACGGUGUAGCGGUGAAAUGCUUAGAUAUCGUCCAGAACACCGAUAGCGAAGGCAGCUUACUAAGGAGUAACUGACGCUGAGGCACGAAAGUAUGGGGAUCAAACAGG